GCGCCCGUAGCUCAGUUGGCAGAGCAUCUGACUUUUAAUCAGAGGGUCGUUGGUUCGAAUCCAACCGGGCGUACCA
rnacentral:tRNA from 1 species